rnacentral:rRNA from 1 species
GAUGAACGCUGGCGGCGUGCUUAUGCAUGUCUGUCAAACCAUGAAGCCCCGCUUGCUGGGUGGAUUAUUGGCGAACGGGUGAGUAACACGUGAGCAACCUGCCCCUGACUCUGGGAUAAGCGCUGGAAACCCCUUCUAAUACUGGAUAUGUCCCAUCGCCGCAUGGUGUGUGGGUGGAAAGAUUUUUCUUUUGGGGAUGGGCUCUUCCUCUAUCUUAUUGUUGGUGAGGUAAUGGCUUACCAAGGCUUCAACAGGUAGCCUGCCUGAGAGGGUGACCCGCCACGCUGGAAUUGACACACCGUCCAAACUCCUACGGUAAGCACCACUGUGGAAUAUUGCACACUGGGCUGAAGCCUGAUACAAAUCCGCCUCUGGAGGGAUGACUGCCUUCGGGUUGUAAACCUCUUUUCUUCGGGAAGAAGCUUUUGUGACCACACCUGCCACAAAAAGGUGCGGCUAACUACGUGCUCCUUUGAGUUUUAAUACGUAGGGUGCACUCGUUAUCCGGAAAUAUUGAUGCGUAUAGAUGUCGUACUCAGUUUGUCACUCUCUGUCGUGAAAUCUCUCAGCUCAACCUGAGUGCUUGCACCAGGGUAUCUAAUCACUGUGAGCUCGGCACGCUAUAUUGGCAUCUCCUGGUGUAGCGGUGGAAUGCGCAGAUAUCAGGAGGAACACCGAUGGCGAAGGCAGAUCUCUGGGCGCGUAACUGACGCUGAGGAGCGAAAGGGUGGGGAGCAUACAGGCUCAGAUAUCGUGGUAGUCCACCCCGUAAACGUUGGGAACUAGUUGUGUGGUCCUUUCCACGGAUUCCGUGACGCAGCUAACGCAUUAAGUUCCCCGCCUGGGGAGUACGGCCGCAAGGCUAAAACUCAAAGGAAUUGACGGGGACCCGCACAAGCGGCGGAGCGUGCGGAUUAAUUCGAUGCAACGCGAAGAACCUUACCAAGGCUUGACAUAUUCGAGAACACCCUGGAAACAGGGGACUCUUUGGACACUCGUUUACAGGUGGUGCAUGGUGGUCGUCAGCUCGUGUCGUGAGAUGUUGGGUUAAGUCCCGCAACGAGCGCAACCCUCGUUCUAUGUUGCCAGCACGUUAUGGUGGGAACUCAUGGGAUACUGCCGGGGUCAACUCGGAGGAAGGUGGGGAUGACGUCAAAUCAUCAUGCCCCUUAUGUCUUGGGCUUCACGCAUGCUACAAUGGCCGGUACAAUGGGCUGCGAUACCGUGAGGUGGAGCGAAUCCCAAAAAGCCGGUCCCAGUUCGGAUUGUAGUCUGCAACUCGACUACAUGAAGUCGGAGUCGCUAGUAAUCGCAGAUCAGCAACGCUGCGGUGAAUACGUUCCCGGGUCUUGUACA